rnacentral:rRNA from 1 species
CUACGGGAGGCAGCAGUGGGGAAUUUUGGACAAUGGGCGCAAGCCUGAUCCAGCCAUGCCGCGUGCAGGAAGAAGGCCUUCGGGUUGUAAACUGCUUUUGUCAGGGAAGAAAUCCUUUGGGUUAAUACCUCGGAGGGAUGACGGUACCUGAAGAAUAAGCACCGGCUAACUACGUGCCAGCAGCCGCGGUAAUACGUAGGGUGCAAGCGUUAAUCGGAAUUACUGGGCGUAAAGCGUGCGCAGGCGGUUAUGCAAGACAGAGGUGAAAUCCCCUGGCUCAACCUGGGAACUGCCUUUGUGACUGCAUGACUAGAGUACGGCAGAGGGAGAUGGAAUUCCGCGUGUAGCAGUGAAAUGCGUAGAUAUGCGGAGGAACACCGAUGGCGAAGGCAAUCUCCUGGGCCUGUACUGACGCUCAUGCACGAAAGCGUGGGGAGCAAACAGGAUUAGAUACCCUUGUAGUCC